AGACAGGUGCUGCAUGGCUGUCGUCAGCUCGUGUCGUGAGAUGUUGGGUUAAGUCCCGCAACGAGCGCAACCCUUGCCUUUAGUUGCCAGCAGUUCGGCUGGGCGACUCUAAAGGGACUGCCGGUGUUAAACCGGAGGAAGGUGGGGAUGACGUCAAGUCCUCAUGGCCUUUAUGACCAGGGCUACACACGUACUACAAAUGGCCGAUACAAAGGGCAGCGACACUGCGAGGUGAAGCCAAUCCCGUAAAAUCGGUCUCAGUCCGGAUUGGAGUCUGCAACUCGACUCCAUGAAGUUGGAAUCGCUAGUAAUCGUGGAUCAGCAUGCCACGGUGAAUACGUUCCCGGGCCUU
rnacentral:rRNA from 1 species